rnacentral:rRNA from 1 species
UACGGAGGUUGCAAACGAUGCUCGGAAUCAUUGGGCGUAAACCGCACGUAGGCGGUCCGGUAAGUCGGAUGUGAAAGCCCUCGGCUCAACCGAGGAAGUGCAUUCGAAACUGCCGGACUUGAGUACGGGAGAGGGAUGCGGAAUUCCCGGUGUAGAAGUGAAAUUCGUAGAUAUCGGGAGGAACACAAGUGGCGAAGGCGGCAUCCUGGACCGAUACUGACGCUGAGGUGCGAAAGCGUGGGGAGCAAACAGG